rnacentral:rRNA from 1 species
CAUGCAAGUCGAGGGGCAGCAUAAUGGAUAGCAAUAUCUAUGGUGGCGACCGGCGCACGGGUGCGUAACGCGUAUGCAACCUACCUUUAACAGGGGGAUAACACUGAGAAAUUGGUACUAAUACCCCAUAAUAUCAUAGAAGGCAUCUUUUAUGGUUGAAAAUUCCGAUGGUUAGAGAUGGGCAUGCGUUGUAUUAGCUAGUUGGUGGGGUAACGGCUCACCAAGGCGACGAUACAUAGGGGGACUGAGAGGUUAACCCCCCACACUGGUACUGAGACACGGACCAGACUCCUACGGGAGGCAGCAGUGAGGAAUAUUGGUCAAUGGACGCAAGUCUGAACCAGCCAUGCCGCGUGCAGGAUGACGGCUCUAUGAGUUGUAAACUGCUUUUGUACGAAGGUAAACGCAGAUACGUGUAUCUGUCUGAAAGUAUCGUACGAAUAAGGAUCGGCUAACUCCGUGCCAGCAGCCGCGGUAAUACGGAGGAUUCAAGCGUUAUCCGGAUUUAUUGGGUUUAAAGGGUGCGUAGGCGGUUUGAUAAGUUAGAGGUGAAAUUUCGGGGCUCAACCCUGAACGUGCCUCUAAUACUGUUGAGCUAGAGAGUAGUUGCGGUAGGCGGAAUGUAUGGUGUAGCGGUGAAAUGCUUAGAGAUCAUACAGAACACCGAUUGCGAAGGCAGCUUACCAAACUAUAUCUGACGUUGAGGCACGAAAGCGUGGGGAGCAAACAGGAUUAGAUACCCUGGUAGUCCACGCAGUAAACGAUGAUAACUCGUUGUCGG